AUUCAAGGCGUAUGGUAGAAGCUCCAAGAACCUUAGGAAUGAUAGUAUACACGGACGAUCCACUCCUUUUGACUUCAAAAUGCUCUAGCUUUCGGGGUUGGUUGCGUAAACUGUCAUGGUGACAGGGGCGAUGGUAUUAGUUUCCGCCAUCUGUACCGUUGUGACUUGCUGCAUAAAUAACGAUUAGCCAGCGUAACACACUUCUUUGCUGCAUCGUCACCCACCUCUUGCCAUCGGCUGUACUUCAACUCUUAUAUCUUAUCCAAGUUCAGCUUGGAAGACUAAUUGGUUUAAUCGCUGUGGCGACAUCAUGAGCAGUUAGAAAACUGGGUGUAGCGUAGUGGCUGCUCAAUGCGUGAGGUAGAAUUGUUAUUCUUUUGAUCCAUCGCUUCUUUCCUUGUUAAGAUCUGAUCGAUGCAUCUGAAUAAGACUACCCACAGUGGGAGUAACAUAGGUAGUAACAUCAAUGCCAUUUAAAUAAAAAAAUUAUAUGACAACUAAUUAUUGAGGAGAGAGACAAAUUGAGUAACAUAGCUACUCCUUUGAGUAACAUCACACAUACUAUGAGUAACACCACNACUAAUUAUUGAGGAGAGAGACAAAUUGAGUAACAUAGCUACUCCUUUGAGUAACAUCACACAUACUAUGAGUAACACCACACAUAUCAUAUGACAAGAUGAGUCUAUAAACUAAUAAGUGAAAACAUCUAUGUUACCACCUUUAUGUUAUUACCCAUUAUGGAGGUAGUAACUUAGACUAGUAACAUAUGCAUGUUACUAAUCUAUGUUACUUCCCAUUAUGGGUAGUCUAAUGU
rnacentral:lncRNA from 1 species